ACGGUUGGCUUAAGGUACGUGCUAAUCCCUUGGGAUAACCAAGCUUUGGUGAUAAGACCCGACAGGUCAAGGCACCAAAGGGCAGCUGGAGCAAUCCAACUGCUGGUAGGUUCACUUUUCAAAAUGUGAACCUUUAAUUGCUGUGAUGCCCUUAGAUGUUCUGGGCCGCACGCGCGCUACACUGACAGAGCCAGCGAGUUUUUUUUCCUUGGCCGGAAGGUCUGGGUAAUCUUGUGAAACUCU
rnacentral:rRNA from 1 species